AUAGUUUUGGUAGGUGGAAAAUAGUUUCCUGGCCUGAUACAUUAGGCCUUGGUGUGAUUAAUGCAUGGCCAUCCAUGUUUCUGUUAGGUCUCCCAGAUACUGUUGGAAACAUCUGCCAUAUACACUUUAUCUCACAAUAAUUACACAGAAAAUUAAAAAGAAUCAAUUCCAGUUUAACAGUAUUUUUGCUUAACCAAUUUUUUGCUCUGCUUACAGGUCUAAUUGCUUUAAUUCUAAUUUUAGUUUUUUGUAAGGUAGGGAUCAUAUCCACCCCAUUCGAUUGCAUUCUAGGAAUAACUACAAUCAGAAAAGAUAUCUGUAAAGGGACCCUAAGGAGAAGACACCUUUAUUUGAGUUUCUUCCUCAGAGCCUUUCUCUUUGGCCCUUCCUUCAUUCCUUUUUUUUUUUUUUCCUCCUUCAUUUUUUUAACACAUACUUGUUGAAUACCUACUCUGGGCCAGGUACGCUUCUAGGUGCUAGUGAAAUCACGGUGGGAAAAAAAUAGCCAGAGAAAGCCCUGCCCUCAUUAGAGCAUAUAGACAGAAUGAGGCAGAUAGUAGACAAAAUAAGGAAGUAAACCUGUGAGCUAUUUUGGAAGGUGUUAAGGAUUAUGGGAAAAACAAAACAGGAAGGCAGGUGGGGAGGACUGGGCUGGGGAGAAGAAGGCGGUGUUUCUGUUUUAAAUAAGGGGGGUUUGGUGGGGGCGGGGAGCAUCCUCUCUGAAGGGGUGACACUCAGCAGAUGUUGGGGGAGGUGAGGAAAGCAGCUAUUAAUGGCCCCCCAUGGGACAUUAGUCCUAAGAAAUGCUGAGUUUAAAAAGGGUUUCACUGUCCAAUAAGUUGGGAAAUAAUAAUUUCUAGAUAUUUACAGUGCUUGCUUGUUAGCAUAUUGAAUAAUUUGAAAAGCCUGCUGGAGAGGAAACCUAUUUCAUUCAAACAUAUUUAAAAUAUUUUUCUUCCUCCCUCCUUCUUUCCCUCCCUCCCUUCUUGCCUCCUUUCCUAACAUGGCAGAGUGGCUAGACCAUAGCUCUGAGCCAUACUUCCAAUGUGGAUAUGACCCCGCCAACCAGUAAGGUUUCUGGAGCUGCAUGGUCCAGGAAAAUUGCAUCCAUUCUGGAAUAAGCGUGAGACCUGAAUCUGCCACUUUUCCCUGAGCGAGUCGAACUUCUCUUGGUUUUGGUUUCAUCAUCCGUAAAUUGGGCAUGAUAAUACCACCUGUGCAAAGUUGAAGAUUAAAUCAAAUCAGGGGUUAAAGCACUUUCUCAAUUGUAAAGUACUACA